rnacentral:rRNA from 1 species
UACGUAGGGCGCAAGCGUUAUCCGGAAUUAUUGGGCGUAAAGAGCUCGUAGGCGGUUUGUCGCGUCUGCUGUGAAAGUCCAGGGCUCAACCCUGGGGAUGCCAGUCGAUACUGCCGGACUAGAGUUCGGGAAGAGGCGAGUGGAAUUCCCGGUGUAGCGGUGAAAUGCGUAGAUAUCGAGAGGAACACCUGCGGCGAAGGCGGGUUGCUGGGCGUGAUACUGACGCUGAGGCGCGGAAAAGCCAGGGGAGCGAACGGG